CAGACUACAGUAACAUAAAGCAAAAAGGAAAGAACAUAAGGAGAAAGAAGAGGCAGAAGUCUGAACUCGCUCUCCCACGGGAGACUGAAAGUGGAAGUGGGUGUAGUUGUGACGGCAUCGCCAAACUCAGAACAAAAAAAGCCCUUUUUCUUACAAAGUGCUUUUGGCAUUCCUGUUUAAGGGGUUGGCAUACGUUUACCGAGUAAUUGGUACUUGGGUUCUGCUGUUUGCAUUUGAUGGGAAAAGAAGAAAAUCAAAGUGCGUUUUUAGGAAGUACUUGUCAGUGAGAUCAAUUCAAAGGUAAUUUAGAGGGAGUAUUAUUUUUA